rnacentral:rRNA from 1 species
AACACUGCGAAAGCGGUGCUAAUACCGGAUAUGCUCACAGUUUGAGAUGUCUGUGGGGAAAGGUGGCCUCUGACAUAAGCUACCACUUAAAGAUGAGCCCGCGUACCAUUAGCUUGUUGGUGGGGUAAUGGCCUACCAAGGCUACGAUGGUUAGCUGGCCUGAGAGGGCGGCCAGCCACACUGGAACUGAGACACGGUCCAGACUCCUACGGGAGGCAGCAGUGGGGAAUAUUGCGCAAUGGGGGAAACCCUGACGCAGCGACGCCGUGUGAGUGAUGAAGGCUUUCGGGUCGUAAAGCUCUGUCGGAUGGGACGAAUAAUGGCUGUGUGAAUAAUGCAGUCAGAUGACGGUACCGUCGAAGGAAGCACCGGCUAACUCCGUGCCAGCAGCCGCGGUAAUACGGAGGGUGCAAGCGUUGUUCGGAAUUAUUGGGCGUAAAGAACGUGUAGGCGGGUUUGUGUGUCAGAUGUGAAAGCCCUCGGCUCAACCGAGGAAGUGCAUCUGAAACUGCAAAUCUUGAGUACGAGAGAGGAGAGUGGAAUUCCCAGUGUAGAGGUGAAAUUCAUAGAUAUUGGGAAGAACACCGGCGGCGAAAGCGGCUCUCUGGCUCGAUACUGGCGCUGAGACGUGAAAGCGUGGGGAGCAAACAGGAUUAGAUACCCUGGUAGUCCACGCCGUAAACGAUG